CAGUCGCCGCGGUAAUACGAAGGGUGCAAGCGUUAAUCGGAAUCACUGGGCGUAAAGCGUGCGUAGGCGGUGAGUUAAGUCUGCUGUGAAAUCCCCGGGCUCAACCUGGGAAUGGCAGUGGAUACUGGCUCGCUAGAGUGUGUCAGAGGAUGGUGGAAUUCCCGGUGUAGCGGUGAAAUGCGUAGAGAUCGGGAGGAACAUCAGUGGCGAAGGCGGCCAUCUGGGACAACACUGACGCUGAGGCACGAAAGCGUGGGGAGCAAACAGGAUUAGAUACCCCCGUAGUCCCUGUCUCUUAUAC
rnacentral:rRNA from 1 species